GACGAACGCUGGCGGCGUGCUUAACACAUGCAAGUCGAGCGGUAAGGCCCUUUCGGGGGUACGACGAGCGGCGAACGGGUGAGUAACACGUGGGUGACCUGCCCUCAGCUCUGGGAUAAGCCUGGGAAACCGGGUCUAAUACUGGAUAUGACUCCAUGACGCAUGUUGUGGGGUGGAAAGCCUUGUGCGGCUGAGGAUAGGCCCGCGGCCUAUCAGCUUGUUGGUGGGGUGANGGCCUACCAAGGCGACGACGGGUAGCCGGCCUGAGAGGGCGACCGGCCACACUGGGACUGAGACACGGCCCAGACUCCUACGGGAGGCAGCAGUGGGGAAUCUUGCGCAAUGGGCGAAAGCCUGACGCAGCGACGCCGCGUGAGGGAUGACGGCCUCGGUU
rnacentral:rRNA from 1 species